GACGAACGCCUGGGCGGCCGUGCCUAAUACAUGGCAAGUCGAGCGGAGAUUAUGCUUGGAUCGGCUUCGGUGAGACGGCAUAUAUCCUAGGCGGCGGACGGGUGAGUAACGCGUGGGUAAUCUACCUCGUAGUUCGGGAUAACAGGCCGAAAGGCUUGCUAAUACCGGAUGAGUUCAUGCUUAUGCAUAUAGGCAUGAAGAAAGGGCUGGCCUGCUAUGAGAUGAGCCCGCGUCCCAUUAGCUUGUUGGUGGGGUAAUGGCCUACCAAGGCAACGAUGGGUAGCCGGCCUGAGAGGGUGUACGGCCACACUGGGACUGAGACACGGCCCAGACUCCUACGGGGGGCAGCAGUAGGGAAUUUUCGGCAAUGGGCGAAAGCCUGACCGAGCGACGCCGCGUGAGGGACGAAGGCCUUCGGGUUGUAAAGCUCUGUCCUAGGGGAAGAUAAUGACGGUACCCUAGGAGGAAGCCCCGGCUAACUACGUG
rnacentral:rRNA from 1 species